rnacentral:rRNA from 1 species
CCUACGGGGGGCUGCAGUGGGGAAUAUUGGACAAUGGGGGGAACCCUGAUCCAACCAUGCCGCGUGUGUGAAGAAGGCCCUCGGGUUGUAAAGCACUUUCAGUGAGGAAGAACGCCUGGUGGUUAAUACCCAUCAGGAAAGACAUCACUCACAGAAGAAGCACCGGCUAACUCCGUGCCAGCAGCCGCGGUAAUACGGAGGGUGCGAGCGUUAAUCGGAAUUACUGGGCGUAAAGCGCGCGUAGGUGGCUUGAUAAGCCGGUUGUGAAAGCCCCGGGCUCAACCUGGGAACGGCAUCCGGAACUGUCAAGCUAGAGUGUAGGAGAGGAAGGUAGAAUUCCCGGUGUAGCGGUGAAAUGCGUAGAGAUCGGGAGGAAUACCAGUGGCGAAGGCGGCCUUCUGGACUGACACUGACACUGAGGUGCGAAAGCGUGGGUAGCAAACAGGAUUAGAUACCCUGGUAGUC